AUUAAUUUUCUAAAAAUUGUGCUUUAAGAAACAACACAGGAAGCAGACUGAAUGGAGCCAAACUCUCUCUUAACCAUUGUUUAACUCUACUCAUAUUUUCAUUUCUAUGAUGAUUUAUUUGUAUUAUCCUCUGUUGAUGUGUAUUUUUUUUCCUCUAUCUAUUUUAUAAAGAAAGCUAUAUCUUCACUAUGAUAUUUUUUGUGAGCUCUCUCUAAACAUAAACUAUAAAUUGAAUGCUAUCAAAUUAGGGGGAUUCAAUGGUAUGUGAAGCUGAUAAAGUUCUUUUUGAUUAGAGUGAAAGUAGGUUUCAUUGGUGUUUGUCCAUAUGUGUGGGUUUUAAAUGAUUUCCUAAGCAAGAUUAUGAUAUGCAAAAUGGUUGUUCCAUGGAAUCGAAAACUAGUACCUGCAUUUAGCAUAUAUUUGUACACACACACACACACAUAACACAUAUACAACUUGUAGUAGCAUUUAGCAUAAAGUGUAUUGAAGUGACAUUAUCUGGAAUUCCUAAUUUUUGCUUCAUUUCCAAAAUUGUGUAGACCGCUAUCUCUGCCCUGCAAUCUGUUCUUCAAGAGGAUUUCAAGGCGACUGAGAUUGAGGUAGGGGUGGUGAGAACAGAAAAUCCUGUUUUUCACGUGUUGUCAACUGAAGAAAUCGAUGAGCACUUGACGGCCAUUAGUGAGCGUGACUGAUUAAAAUGCUUGAUUGGGGAAAUGUUGCUAUUAAUUGAACCUGCAAAAUAUACAUUUGGUUGAUCUCAGGGUUCUUUUGUUGGUUGUUUAAACUAAAAUUCUCCUGUCGUUUCUCUGCCUUUUUAAGGGGUAUUAAAUGCAUGUGCUAGAAUUAUUUUGCUGCUCUUGGCAGAUA